rnacentral:rRNA from 1 species
UACGUAGGGUGCAAGCGUUGUCCGGAAUUAUUGGGCGUAAAGAGCUCGUAGGCGGUCUGUCACGUCGGCUGUGAAAACCCGAGGCUCAACCCCGGGCCUGCAGCCGAUACGGGCAGACUAGAGUUCGGCAGGGGAGACUGGAAAUUCCUGGUGUAGCGGUGAAAUGCGCAGAUAUCAGGAGGAACACCGGUGGCGAAGGCGGGUCUCUGGGCCGAUACUGACGCUGAGGAGCGAAAGGCGUGGGGAGCGAACAGG